UUUGCUCAAUACAAGUCAAGAAGGAGGUCGUACAUGCAACCAAAGUCUGAGCUGGACAUGUAUUUGGAGAAAAAUUUCGACAGCUCCGGGGGAAGUUUUGAUAUUUUGAUAGGGUGGAAAACACAUGCUGAAAAAUAUCCCGUGCUCUCAACCAUGGCUCGUGAUUUCCUUGCAAUACCUCUUAGCACCGUGUCAUCUGAAUCAGCAUUCAGUUGCAGUGGAAGGACUUUAGGAGAUUCCCGAUGCUCGAUGACGCCUGAAACGCUUGAGGCUUUAGUUUGCGGAAAAGAUUGGCUUAUCAAAAUUCCAAAUAAUGAAGGCCCAAGUGGGACAGCCUAAUGAAGAAAAGGUCUUAUGUUAACAAAUUGGUAUCAAGACGAAAGCCGGGGUAGAAGAAACCAUUUAGAAAAGGGAGAUGGAUGUCCAGCAACUAUGUAAAAUGAAUUAUGUAACUGAGUUAUUGUGUAACAUCCAGUAUUAUGUGUAAUAAUUUUAGACCCCAUGCUGUAACAUCCAACGGCUACUUAGUUAGUCAGGAAGCUAUCCUUUUCCUAGUAAAACUGGGUUGCCAUUCUUAUUCCUUGUCCAUGGAUUGA